UAAACAAACUAACCAAAAAAUAUUUAGCAGUAAGUGCAACACCCGUUUCAUCUAAACGAAAUCGAUUAAAUAUAUGGAGAACAUUUACAAUCAUUGCUACUUUUAAGUUCGCUAUCCAAUGAAGAAUGGCAUAUUAAGUUCAGCAGUUUAGGCCAUGCAUUGACAGGUCAGUCAGGGCCAUGACUAUGGACAAGGCCCCUCCAUUAGUAUAAGCUAUAAACAUAAGUGUUCAAGAUCAAAGCAGUAAGCAUUUCAGGCUUAUACUAAUAGAUGGAUCUUGUCCACAGUCGUGUAUAAAGGUCUGAAAAUUCCGAUGGUGGGGAUAAGGCUCUUAAAUAUCGGGAGUUGUGCUUUACAAAUCGGCGACUAUGGCGCCUGAAUCUUUACUUUCUUAUUCAAUAAAGACGUUAAGGAAAGAUUUAUACAAUUGUAUAAUUAAUAUAAUUAAUAUAGUUAUAUAAAUUACUCUUUCUAUUUAUGAGAGAAUUCAGAAAUAUUUAGACCACAAAUAGAACUUACAAGUUGAUUUACAAUUUACGAAUUUACAAUUAUCGGAUAUAAGAUCAACUAAGAUGAAUUUAUAUUUAAAUAUAUAAGUAUUUACUAGCUCGAGGAUAUACGGAACAGAGAUUAGGACGAGAGAAGAUCGAUUUGAAAAAACGGAAAGUGGCGAGGACGAGCAACCGAAUAGGAAAAGCGGAUCAAUGUGAAUGAUAUUAAGUUGACAAACAUGUAAAUGUAUAGAUAGUGUAGAAAUAAAUAAAUAAGUAUAAAUAACUUCUA